UACGAAGGGGGUUAGCGUUGUUCGGAAUUACUGGGCGUAAAGCGCACGUAGGCGGAUUGUUAAGUGAGGGGUGAAAUCCCAGGGCUCAACCCUGGAACUGCCUUUCAUACUGGCAAUCUCGAGUCCGAGAGAGGUGAGUGGAAUUCCGAGUGUAGAGGUGAAAUUCGUAGAUAUUCGGAGGAACACCAGUGGCGAAGGCGGCUCACUGGCUCGGUACUGACGCUGAGGUGCGAAAAGCGUGGGGAGCAAACAGGG
rnacentral:rRNA from 1 species